rnacentral:rRNA from 1 species
AACGAACGCUGGCGGCGUGCCUAACACAUGCAAGUCGAACGGAAUUUGAGAGCUUGCUCUUAAAUUUAGUGGCGCACGGGUGAGUAACGCGUAGAUAAUCUGCCUGACGAUCUGGGAUAACACUUCGAAAGAGGUGCUAAUACCGGAUAAGCCCACGGGUUCUUUGGAAUCUGCGGGAAAAGGGGGGGACCUUCGGGCCUUCUGUCGUCAGUUGAGUCUGCGUACCAUUAGCUAGUUGGUAGGGUAAAGGCCUACCAAGGCGACGAUGGUUAGGUGGUCUGAGAGGAUAGGCAGCCACACUGGAACUGAGACACGGUCCAGACUCCUCCUGGUGGCAGCAGUGGGGGAUUUUGCGCAAUGGGCGAAAGCCUGACGCAGCAACGCCGCGUGAGUGAUGAAGGCUUUCAGGUCGUAAAGCUCUGUCAAUGGGAAAGAAGUGUAUUUUGGCUAAUGUCCUUAAUACUUGACGGUACCCAGAAAGGAAGCACCGGCUAACUCCGUGCCAGCAGCCGCGGUAAAAC